rnacentral:lncRNA from 1 species
CGAACCUAGUUUUGAUAUAAAAAGAAAAGAGGUUUUUAAAAGUAUUUGUGAUUUUUUUUCCCCAUGAAUACAAUCAUUAACAUGUGCUGAUAAAUUAAUAAUUGAUUGAGCCAAGCAAAGAUCGUUUAGAUAUAAAUGUCCCACACCUCCAAAUGAGACCAACUAUGUAUUUUGCUUCAUGACUCCCUCCUCUGCCCAUUCAAA